GACGAACGCUGGCGGCGUGCUUAACACAUGCAAGUCGAGCGGAAAGGCCCUUUCGGGGGUACUCGAGCGGCGAACGGGUGAGUAACACGUGAGUAAUCUGCCCUUGGCUUUGGGAUAGCCACCGGAAACGGUGGCUAAUACCGGAUACGACCACCCCCGGCAUCGGGUGGUGGUGGAAAGUUUUUUCGGUCAGGGAUGUGCUCGCGGCCUAUCAGCUUGUUGGUGGGGUAAUGGCCUACCAAGGCUUCGACGGGUAGCCGGUCUGAGAGGGUGACCGGCCACACUGGGAUUGAGACACGGCCCAGACUCCUACGGGAGGCAGCAGUGGGGAAUAUUGGACAAUGGGCGAAAGCCUGAUCCAGCAACGCCGCGUGAGGGAUGACGGCCUUCGGGUUGUAAACCUCUUUCAGUACCGACGAAGCGCCGAUGAUGGUGGUGACGGUAGGUACAGAAGAAGCACCGGCCAACUACGUGCCAGCAGCCGCCGUAAAAC
rnacentral:rRNA from 1 species